rnacentral:rRNA from 1 species
GACGAACGCUGGCGGCGUGCUUAACACAUGCAAGUCGAGCGGUAAGGCCCUUUCGGGGGUACACGAGCGGCGAACGGGUGAGUAACACGUGGGUGACCUGCCCUCAGCUCUGGGAUAAGCCUGGGAAACCGGGUCUAAUACCGGAUAUGACUCCAUGACGCAUGUUGUGGGGUGGAAAGCCUUGUGCGGCUGAGGAUGGGCCCGCGGCCUAUCAGCUUGUUGGUGGGGUGAGGCCUACCAAGGCGACGACGGGUAGCCGGCCUGAGAGGGCGACCGGCCACACUGGGACUGAGACACGGCCCAGACUCCUACGGGAGGCAGCAGUGGGGAAUCUUGCGCAAUGGGCGAAAGCCUGACGCAGCGACGCCGCGUGAGGGAUGACGGCCUGUGUAC